rnacentral:misc_RNA from 1 species
GGCUCUCAAUUGGUGCACUACUCACAUGUGAGAAGUUCUUCCAUUUCACUGCUUCGAACCAUCUACUGUCUUGUUCUUCAGGACCCUGCCACUUUGGAGCCCCAAUUGCUAUAUGACUUUCCCAGUAUGGUUGGAGGAUCCUAGGAAGAGAAACAAGAUGCUGAAGAUAGAUGCAUAGUCGAUUAACCUUCGACCCUUCAAGAUAUAGUUGCAAGCCGG